UGGGGUUGGUACUCUUUCCUUAACUCAUGCCGCUGUGCCUUUUAAUUUUAUUUCACAAUUGUGUGAGUUGAGUACAGAGUGUCAGCCUA
rfam:Anas platyrhynchos breed Pekin duck contig57326, whole genome shotgun sequence.